CUCUUCUUCUCUGUGGACAUCCCUGGAAAGUAUACUGCCAAGAAGGAAGAAGCAUUGAGAUUUGUUCCUGUGAGGCUGUAAAAGCCAUGGGGGCGUCCCCAGGCCCGAACAACUUCUGACCCCGUGUCAAUGUUGCUGCCUCAGUUAACUGGAGUCCAAGAGGAUGAUCCCCAGUCAGCUCGCAGUCGAACUUCAUAAACUUAAAGCUCUCUAUAAAUGAAGCUCAAGGUGUCUAGAGAGCUACAAAAUCAAAUCAGCUGACUUGCCCUAUAUCUAUUCUCAUCCACAUAUGAAAGCAGGGUUUCUUUUUCUUCUCUACAUUCCUGCUCCCCAAAAUAUCAUCAUCAUCAUCAUCAUCAUCAUCAUCAUCAUCACUGCUACUACUAUGGGAGUAAGGCAUGGGUUGAUGUUCAUGGAAACCAAAACGAUUUGUGCCUCAGGAAACCAGGUGAUGAGACCACCUUCCUUCAGCAUUAUCUUAGCAAUACCAAUUGCACAAACUACACCAGAAAUAGAGAGGCAGCUCUGAUUUUGUAAUAAAGGGAUUUCAAAUCCCCAAUCAAAUCCUGAUGCUACAAAGAAGUCCUGUACUAGAAGAAAUGCAAUCAAGUGGAAGAAUUGAAUUGGGUUCUAGGUCUAGCUCUACCUAGCUAAUCUCAGAUCUUUUUUUCAUCCAUUCAUCCAUUCACUUGUUCAACAAAAAUUCAUUAAGAACCAGCUGAUAUUUUAAAUUUUUGAGGGAAACGCAACAGAUGAAGACCUUGAAAGCUCAGCAAAUCCUAUUUCCAUUUGAAAUAUCAUAUCAUUGCAAACAGGGUUUUUUGGUUGUCGCUGUGAUUAAAAGCAAGUGCCUGCAAAAAUCAAUGGUGGAACAGGAAACAAAGGUGGUGGCUUCCAAUCGGAUUCCAAAGUUUAAGAAGUUGUACAGUGCUCAAUAGGUCUACCUAUCCCAUUAGCAAUCGUAGUUAUUUAAAAAUGAAAAAAAAUUUCUUUCAAUGGAUGUGUAUUCUUUUUUCAAAUAGCUACUAAAUUGUUAAGACAUAAAUGCUUUUAAAGUUGUUUGGACCCAACUACUUAGUAAAUAGAACUUUUAGGUAUUGGUGGGGAGGGGGAAGCUAGAGGCCCAAUGAAAAAAUUAUUGAGAUGCUAAGGCUGUCAUGAACUGAGAAAGUUUGGGGCCGUCCUGAGGGUACAUUAUUGUCUCAGGAUG